UUCCGAGGUCUUGAAUGCAGAUUAUCCAGAUAAAGGUCUUCGUUUUUUCUCAGAAAAGGUUAGUCAUCAUCCAAUGGUUGUUGCAUGCCACUGUGAGGGAAAUGGCUGGAGGUUUUGGGCAGAUAGCAACCUAAAGAGCAAGUUCUGGGGUCGCUCCAUUCAACUUGAUCCUGUUGGUGUGUUAACACUGGAGUUUGAUGAUGGUGAAGUUUUCCAGUGGAGCAAGGUGACCACUUCCAUUUACAAUCUCAUAUUGGGUAAACUGUACUGUGAUCACUAUGGUACUAUGCGCAUUCAAGGUAAUCGCGAAUAUUCAUGUAAGCUGAAGUUCAAGGAGCAGUCAAUUAUUGAUCGCAACCCUCAU